AUUUACGGCCAUACCACCCUGAACACGCCCGAUCUCGUCUGAUCUCGGAAACUAAGCAGGGUCGGGCCUGGUUAGUACUUGGAUGGGAGACCGCCUGGGAAUACCACGUGUUGUAGGCU
rnacentral:rRNA from 1 species